rnacentral:lncRNA from 1 species
AAAGAAGUCCUUUCAGCUUCACACCACAGGGAUCUGAACACAUGGAGAACUGCACAGAACCAUGAUCUUGGAGGCUCCCCAGGACAGUGUCUCAUGUGAAAGGGCACCAUGGGGCUGACUUGGACAGUUUUCUUUCAGUGUACAUCACGUUCUCCACACAAGAAAAUCUCCUUGCUUUUACAUCUCUGGGGAAGGCAGGCAUUGCCUAAACAUCUACUGAUGAAAACUUUAUAUACAGUCUGGGUCAAACUGGAGUGUUUUGAUUCAGAUGUUUUGGAACUCUUCAUAGACAGGUGCUACAACAGUUGGUCCAACCUACUGACCAAUAUACUGAUACUCAAAGAAAUUAAACAACAUCCCUGAAGACCUCAGCAUGCAGGAUCCCAGCAAAACAAGCCCUUGCUUUUCAGCAUCCUGCUCUAGCAAGCAGGUCGGUUGCUCUUACUUCUCUAUGAGAACCAAAACUCAUUUUUUUUCCCCAUAAAAUAACAAAAGUAAAUAAAAAGAAAACAACAAGAACAUCAAAUGAAAACAAGGGAUCACCACUUUCUGAGAGGUUUAGAAACACACUUUCAGUAUUUCUCAGCAUGUACCUAAGCAUAACCAUUGUUUCUGUCUCCAUUUUUAUUGCUCUAGGCAAUGGAAACUGUAGUUUCUAUAUUUAAUGUAUUGAAACUGCCUGGUCUCCAAGGUAGCAGGGGUAUCUAUAUACACCAGUCGAAUACAUUUCAGGCUCAAUCACUUUGAAAGCCUGGAUAAUAGAAGAGCACUUGUACUUUGGAUAACAAAGUUAUUUCCUUUAACAUCAACAAGCAGCUCAGUUAGGAACUGCAUCAGGCAUUGAUUUUGUUAGCCUGUUUGCAGGCACUGUUGGGGCCUUUUUAACUAGUAAAACUUAAAAAAAAAAACAAAACAAAAAACAAGAAGGUUUGCAGAUCAUUCUUCAUAUGCAUUUUUUCACAGAGCAGAGCUGACAGGAGGAGCUAUAUUAAUUUCACCAUUGCUGAUUUGAAUGUCAGGUGAACAUCUGUAGGACCAGUCCUGGAUCUGUCAAUUGCAGCCUCCUUGUUUUAAGACACACUGAAGCUUGAACUUACAUCUCAAGCCAAAUUUUAUACCUGGUUCCUAUUGGGAUUGUAAAUGUGCCUUCAAUUCCAGACUUGCAGCUUAGAUUCUGGACUAAGAGCCUCAACACACAACCAGAUUCGGAUGUGGGCUUCUUCCUGCUAUACUCAAGCCUAUUUAUUUCCAUUUCCUAUUUACUCAUUUAUCCUUACCUGAUGCUAAAUUAAAAGUAUCAUAAGCCACUCAUUAUGUAUUCCCAGAGUCACCGUAACCUGGCCAUCUGUUAUAUUGUUUUUAUUGUAAGAAAUGCUUGAUCUACAUUUUUUCCUUAUAUCACAUACUCUGGCUAGCAGCAGGAUUGCAGGACCCAGCACAUCCCUCCUCCCACUCCCCACCACGCAAUUCCUUUUAUCAGUAAUGGGAAUGAGGCACAUACAUGGAAAAGAAAGCAGAUUCCUUAGAGUAAACUUUCUGACAGAAGAGUUCGUAACAACUUUUCAAAAAAAAAAAAAAAAAAACAACCCACACGUCUCGUUUAUUUUCCCCUUUCUUCCUCCCAGCUUUAUGUCAGUCAUCAAUCGAACAGGAGACAACUCAUUUCAUUUCUGUGACACGCAAUGAUGGACUUGUGUUACAACCCCGACUUAUUUUGAGAACUUCAAUUUCUCAAGCUGAAAGUCUGAAUGUCCCAUGCUUGGAAGGGCUAUUGAUCUGAUGUAGAUGGACAGCUCAAGAGGAACUGAUACAUUCCUUACAGCAAUUUUUUUUGGACCACUACAUAAUGUAGACUUUCUGGUUGUUUGUUGACAUCUAAAAACUUUGAUUCUGUGAUUUCACUGAUACUCUUUUGCAGGUUUUACUCAAUAUUUCCCUGCGCUAUUUGAUGUAGG